GAUGAACGCUAGCUACAGGCUUAACACAUGCAAGUCGAGGGGUAACGAGAGGAAAGCUUGCUUUCCUUGUCGACGACCGGCGCACGGGUGAGUAACGCGUAUCCAACCUGCCCCCAACUAGGGAAUAACCUUGCGAAAGUAAGACUAAUACCCUAUAAUUUCCUCAGAUGUCAUCUGACGAGGAAUAAAGAUUUAUCGGUUGUGGAUGGGGAUGCGUCUGAUUAGCUUGUUGGCGGGGUAACGGCCCACCAAGGCAACGAUCAGUAGGGGUUCUGAGAGGAAGGUCCCCCACAUUGGAACUGAGACACGGUCCAAACUCCUACGGGAGGCAGCAGUGAGGAAUAUUGGUCAAUGGGUGGAAGCCUGAACCAGCCAAGUAGCGUGCAGGAUGGCGGCCCUAUGGGUUGUAAACUGCUUUUAUACAGGAAUAAAGUUAGCCACGUGUGGUUAUUUGUAGGUACUGUAUGAAUAAGGACCGGCUAAUUCCGUGCCAGCAGCCGCCGUAC
rnacentral:rRNA from 1 species